CCUACGGGCGGCAGCAGUGGGGAAUAUUGGACAAUGGGGGGAACCCUGAUCCAGCCAUGCCGCGUGUGUGAAGAAGGCCCUCGGGUUGUAAAGCACUUUCAGUGAGGAAGAACGCCUGGUGGUUAAUACCCAUCAGGAAAGACAUCACUCACAGAAGAAGCACCGGCUAACUCCGUGCCAGCAGCCGCGGUAAUACGGAGGGUGCGAGCGUUAAUCGGAAUUACUGGGCGUAAAGCGCGCGUAGGUGGCUUGAUAAGCCGGUUGUGAAAGCCCCGGGCUCAACCUGGGAACGGCAUCCGGAACUGUCAAGCUAGAGUGCAGAAGAGGAAGGUAGAAUUCCCGGUGUAGUGGUGAAAUGCGUAGAGAUCGGGAGGAAUACCAGUGGCGAAGGCGGCCUUCUGGACUGACACUGACACUGAGGUGCGAAAGCGUGGGUAGCAAACAGGAUUAGAUACCCUGGUAGUC
rnacentral:rRNA from 1 species